rnacentral:rRNA from 1 species
UGGGGAAUAUUGCACAAUGGGCGCAAGCCUGAUGCAGCCAUGCCGCGUGUGUGAAGAAGGUCUUCGGGUUGUAAAGCACUUUUGUCCGGAAAGAAAUCCUUGGCUCUAAUACAGUCGGGGGAUGACGGUACCGGAAGAAUAAGCACCGGCUAACUACGUGCCAGCAGCCGCGGUAAUACGUAGGGUGCAAGCGUUAAUCGGAAUUACUGGGCGUAAAGCGUGCGCAGGCGGUUUGCUAAGACCGAUGUGAAAUCCCCGGGCUCAACCUGGGAACUGCAUUGGUGACUGGCAGGCUAGAGUAUGGCAGAGGGGGGUAGAAUUCCACGUGUAGCAGUGAAAUGCGUAGAGAUGUGGAGGAAUACCGAUGGCGAAGGCAGCCCCCUGGGCCAAUACUGACGCUCAUGCACGAAAGCGUGGGGAGCAAACAGGAUUAGAUACCCUGGUAGUCCACGCCCUAAACGAUGUCAACUAGUUGUUGGGAUUCAUUUCCUUAGUAACGUAGCUAACGCGUGAAGUUGACCGCCUGGGGAGUACGGUCGCAAGAUUAAAA